rnacentral:rRNA from 1 species
UAAAGAUUCAUCGCUGAUAGAUAGGCAUGCGUUCCAUUAGGCAGUUGGCGGGGUAACGGCCCACCAAGCCGACGAUGGAUAGGGGUUCUGAGAGGAAGGUCCCCCACAUUGGUACUGAGACACGGACCAAACUCCUACGGGAGGCAGCAGUGAGGAAUAUUGGUCAAUGGCCGAGAGGCUGAACCAGCCAAGUCGCGUGAGGGAUGAAGGUUCUAUGGAUCGUAAACCUCUUUUAUAAGGGAAUAAAGUGCGGGACGUGUCCCGUUUUGUAUGUACCUUAUGAAUAAGGAUCGGCUAACUCCGUGCCAGCAGCCGCGGUAAUACGGAGGAUCCGAGCGUUAUCCGGAUUUAUUGGGUUUAAAGGGUGCGUAGGCGGCCUUUUAAGUCAGCGGUGAAAGUCUGUGGCUCAACCAUAGAAUUGCCGUUGAAACUGGGGGGCUUGAGUAUGUUUGAGGCAGGCGGAAUGCGUGGUGUAGCGGUGAAAUGCAUAGAUAUCACGCAGAACCCCGAUUGCGAAGGCAGCCUGCCAAGCCAUGACUGACGCUGAUGCACGAAAGCGUGGGGAUCAAACAGGAUUAGAUACCCUGGUAGUCCACGCAGUAAACGAUGAUCACUAGCUGUUUGCGAUACACUGUAAGCG